UACGUAGGGUGCAAGCGUUGUCCGGAAUUAUUGGGCGUAAAGAGCUCGUAGGCGGUUUGUCGCGUCUGCUGUGAAAUCUGGGGCUCAACCCCCAGCCUGCAGUGGGUACGGGCAGACUAGAGUGCGGUAGGGGAGAUUGGAAUUCCUGGUGUAGCGGUGAAAUGCGCAGAUAUCAGGAGGAACACCGGUGGCGAAGGCGGGUCUCUGGGCCGUAACUGACGCUGAGGAGCGAAAGCAUGGGGAGCGAACAGG
rnacentral:rRNA from 1 species